rnacentral:rRNA from 1 species
GGCCUAUCAGGUAGUAGUGGGUGUAGCGUACCUACUAGCCUACGACGGGUACGGGUUGUGAGAGCAAGAGCCCGGAGAUGGAUUCUGAGACACGAAUCCAGGCCCUACGGGGUGCAGCAGGCGCGAAAACUUUACAAUGCUGGAAACAGCGAUAAGGGGACCUCGAGUGCCAGGUUACAAAUCUGGCUGUCGUGAUGCCUAAAAAGCAUUGCAUAGCAAGGGCCGGGCAAGACCGGUGCCAGCCGCCGCGGUAACACCGGCGGCUCGAGUGGUAACCGUUAUUAUUGGGUCUAAAGGGUCUGUAGCCGGCCGGAUAAGUCUCUUGGGAAAUCUGGCAGCUUAACUGUCAGGCUUUCAGGAGAUACUGUCUGGCUCGAGGCCGGGAGAGGUGAGAGGUACUUCAGGGGUAGGGGUGAAAUCUUGUAAUCCUUGAAGGACCACCAGUGGCGAAGGCGUCUCACCAGAACGGACCUGACGGCAAGGGACGAAAGCUAGGGGCACGAACCGGAUUAGAUACCCGGGUAGUCCUAGCCGUAAACGAUACUCGCUAGGUGUCGGCAACGGUGCGACCGUUGUCGGUGCCGUAGGGAAGCCGUGAAGCGAGCCACCUGGGAAGUACGGCCGCAAGGCUGAAACUUAAAGGAAUUGGCGGGGGAGCAC